UGAAUACGAGACGCUAAGGCGUCGAAGUAGUGUAUGUCAUACUUCCAAGAAAAGCUUGCACUGUCAUAAGUAAAAAAUGCCUGUACCAUAACCGACACAGGUGGGUAGGUAGAGUAUACUAAGGGGCGCGAGAUAACUCUCUCUAAGGAACUCGGCAAAAUAACUCCGUAACUUCGGGAGAAGGAGUACCUUAUUCUAUAAGGUUGCAAUAACAAGAUCCAAGCAACUGUUUAUCAAAAACACAGGUCUCCGCUAAGUCGUAAGACGAUGUAUGGGGGCUGACGCCUGCCCAGUGCCAGAAGGUUAAAGAAGUCGGUUAGCAUUAGCGAAGCUGGUAACUGAAGCCCUGGUGAACGGCGGCCGUAACGAUAACGGUCCUAAGGUAGCGAAAUUCCUUGUCGGGUAAGUUCCGACCCGCACGAAAGGCGUAAUGAUUUGGAUACUGUCUCGGAGAGGGGCUCGGUGAAAUAGACUUGUCUGUGAAGAUGCGGACUGCCUGCACCAGGACAGAAAGACCCUAUGAAGCUUUACUGUAACUUGAAAUUGAAAUUGGACUUUAUUCGCGCAGUAUAGGUGGGAGGUGUUGAUUAUAAUCUUGCGGGAUUAUUGGAGCCAUCAGUGAGAUACCACUCUUGUAAUGUUAGAUUUCUAACUUUGAAUCAUUAUCUGGUCAAAGGACAGUUUCAGGCGGGCAGUUUGACUGGGGCGGUCGCCUCCCAAACGGUAACGGAGGCGUACAAAGGUUUCCUCUGAACGGGUAGAAAUCGUAUCUAGAGUGUAAAGGCAUAAGGAAGCUUGACUGUGAGACCUACAAGUCGAACAGGGACGAAAGUCGGUCUUAGUGAUCUGACGGUACUGAGUGGAAAGGCCGUCACUCAACGGAUAAAAGUUACUCUAGGAUAACAGGCUGAUCUCCCCCAAGAGUUCACAUCGACGGGGAGGUUUGGCACCUCGAUGUCGGCUCAUCGCAUCCUGGGGCGGUAGUACGUCCCAAGGGUUGGGCUGUUCGCCCAUGAAAGCGGUACGCGAGCUGGGUUCAGAACGUCGUGAGACAGUUCGGUCCAUAUCCGGUGUAGGCGUUAGAAUAUUGAGAGGAGCCUUCUUUAGUACGAGAGGACCGAGAAGGACAUACCUCUGGUGUACCAGUUAUCGUGCCAACGGUAAACGCUGGGUAGCUAUGUAUGGAGUGGAUAACCGCUGAAAGCAUCUAAGUGGGAAGCCCACCUCAAGAUAAGUA
rnacentral:rRNA from 1 species